UUUAUUGGAGAGUUUGAUCCUGGCUCAGGAUGAACGCUGGCGGCGUGCCUAAUACAUGCAAGUCGAGCGAAUGGAUUAAGAGCUUGCUCUUAUGAAGUUAGCGGCGGACGGGUGAGUAACACGUGGGUAACCUGCCCAUAAGACUGGGAUAACUCCGGGAAACCGGGGCUAAUACCGGAUAACAUUUUGAACCGCAUGGUUCGAAAUUGAAAGGCGGCUUCGCCUGUCACUCAUGGAUGGACCCGCGUCGCAUUAGCUAGUUGGUGAGGUAAC
rnacentral:rRNA from 1 species